rnacentral:rRNA from 1 species
AGUACAGUGGCGACCGGGUGAGUAACACGUGACCAACCUACCCUCGAGUGGGGAAUAACUCCGGGAAACCGGAGCUAAUACCGCAUAACAUCUUCGGAAUGCAAAUUCUGUUGAUCAAAGGAGCAAUUCGCUUGAGGAGGGGGUCGCGGCUGAUUAGCUAGUUGGUAGGGUAACGGCCUACCAAGGCUGAGAUCGGUAUCCGGCCUGAAAGGGCGCACGGACACACUGGAACUGAAACACGGUCCAGACUCCUACGGGAGGCAGCAGUGGGGAAUUUUGCGCAAUGGGGGAAACCCUGACGCAGCAACGCCGCGUGGAGGAUGAAGUCCCUUGGGACGUAAACUCCUUUCGACCCGGACGAUACUGACGGUACGGGAUGGAAGAAGCACCGGCUAACUCUGUGCCAGCAGCCGCGGUAAUACAGAGGGUGCGAGCGUUGUUCGGAAUUAUUGGGCGUAAAGGGCGCGUA